rnacentral:rRNA from 1 species
CCCCUAGAUGUUCUGGGCCGCACGCGCGCUACACUGAACACUUCAACAAGUCUUAACCUUGGCCGAUAGGUCUGGGUAAUCUUUGAACGCUGUUCGUGAUUGGGAUAGACCUUUGCAAUUAUGGGUCUUCAACGAGGAAUUCCUAGUAAACGCAAGUCAUCAGCUUGCAUUGAUUACGUCCCUGCCCUUUGUACACACCGCCCGUCGCACCUACCGAUUGAAUGGUCCGGUGAAAUCUCGGGACGGCGGCUUGGUCGCUUGCGUCCGACUGCUGAAACUUGAUUAAACCAUAUCAUUUAGAGGAAGGUGAAGUCGUAACA